rnacentral:rRNA from 1 species
GGAAGCGAUCAUACCAGCACUAAAGCACCGGAUCCCAUCAGAACUCUGAAGUUAAGCGUGCUUGGGCGAGAGUAGUACAAGGAUGGGUGACCUCCUGGGAAGUCCUCGUGUUGCAUUCC